rnacentral:tRNA from 1 species
GGAAUGAGAGAUUCAGAUAAAAGCUUCUAACUUUAAAUCUAAGCGAUGAAACUUCGUUUGCAUUCCU